rnacentral:lncRNA from 1 species
GACUUCAGACUUCCAAGCAAUUCUGACUAUGCAAUUCCCAGCUACCCCUCAGUAGCCAUCGUCAGCUGAAUAAACAGAGAUUUUUCAGAUGAUAUUGUUUUCCCCAUCUGACUGAAGCUCCUUGUUCAGUGCUAGAAGAAAGUAGCUCAUUGUGAAGCCUGUCUUUACUGCCGGCAUGUGACAAAAUAUCUGUUUCUCCUUUUCGUUAAGGCCCAGCUGCUCCUUUGCUGAUAGAAGGGAAAUCCCUGCAAACAGAGAGCAAAGUCGGUGACAGACAGCCGAGCACUUGUCUGCCCCCAUGAAUCAGCAUGGAGAAGUUCUCCUCAUUUUCCUUCCGCUAGCCCAAAGCUGCUUAAAAUAUUUUUUGUUGGUUUUGCGUGAGUUUCCUGUUUGUUGUUUUUGGUUGUGUUGUUUUAUUUUAUUUUGUUUUAUUUUAUUUUAUUUUGUUUUAUUUUAUUUUAUUUUAUUUUAUUUUAUUUAUUUAUUUUAUUUAUUUAUUUUUCAACUCAAUGUUUUCUGAUGUGUCUAAUGCCUUUUCUGUCCUUUUUUUUUUUUUUUUUUUUAUGCUUGUGGCAUCCUCAUGCGCAAGCACUGAGCAAGACAAGGUCUACUUAGCACUUGAAUUCAGAGGAAACAAGCCGCUUGCAGCCCUGGAUAGCAGAAGAUCAAGAAGUCUCACUUCUGAUCAUAUGAGAGGCAUGAGUCACGCUGUCCCCGUCUCUACCUUGGAGGGAUGAAGUGCAGCAUGGAAGUUUGCAGGGCAGUCUGCUGGAAAUAAUCUCCGCCGGACAAAAGGCCUCGUUGGAAGCAAGAGCCGUAUCCAAAUGCCUGGAUUUGGAAGGCUGCAAAGAAUGACAGUCACAGGAACUGAUAUUUGAACAGGAAAAACUGUGCCAAGCUCUAUAUUUGGGCAUGGUUAUUGCCGUGUUUAUUAUUGUUAUCACCACCGGAAUUAUAGUCCUGGUUGGAGACUGCGCCUGAGAUCAGAUCUCCUUUUAGCAAGGGUUGUCUGCAAAUAUUGCAAGAGACAGCCCCUUCUCCCCAGAAAAAAAACAAACAAAACUGUUUAAAAAUAUUCCCUUUUAGCAACAACAUGGUUGCCCUGUGUGUACGAGCAAAGUCGCAUUCAGAUUAUGCCGGAAAGCUAUGCCAAAUUCAGCCCAAACCUAAGAGACGACUCCUCUUACCAACAAGUUUUGCCUCCUGGUAGACAAAGAGUAGAAAGAUUAUUGCCAUCUCCCUCUGCAGCACAGGGAGAUGAAGUAACUUGCUCCCAAACCUACAAGAAGAUCUUCCUAAGGUCAACUUUCCCAGUCUAGAAGAGAAGAAAACCAGUUUCUUCUAAACCGGAGUUCAGUGGCAGGAAGCAUUGAUUAUAAAGACCAGUGCCUGGGUUCCCUGACCCAGGAGAAUUUGUCUGAUCAGAAUCUCUUAAAAGUUUCCAAGACAAGCCCCACCUCAGGUUGGCCUGGUCUUCUCUGUCAUUUUUUCCACCCCGCAGCUCCUCAGCAGGUCUCCAUCUCCUGCUCCUUAAGGGCAUAGAUCUCUCAUAAACCUGUGCCAUACCUUCCAGCCCCAAGUGGGAACAUCUCAAGGAACAUCUUGGGGUAUCUGAAACACCUGGACAUCAUAAACCUAGAACCUUCAUGAGAGCUUCAUGGAACCUGUUCCCUUCUGGAGUGGCAGCUAGAGGCUGGGGGCUGCUGUAGAGACUCAAAUAUGAUACUGGGCACUUCU